AGAAUCAACGCUGGCGGCGUGCCUAACACAUGCAAGUCGCACGAGAAAGGGGCUUCGGUCCUGAGUACAGUGGCGCACGGGUGAGUAACACGUGAAUAAUCUACCUCCGAGUGGGGAAUAACUGAGAGAAAUCUUAGCUAAUACCGCAUAACACUUACGAGUCAAAGCAGCAAUGCGCUUGGAGAGGAGUUCGCGGCAGAUUAGUUAGUUGGCGGGGUAAUGGCCCACCAAGACGAUGAUCGGUA
rnacentral:rRNA from 1 species